AUGAUCCUGAGGUGUCAGGGAUCUUUCUGUCUUCCAGGGCAAGGGGAAAUUGAGGCAAGACUCUGGUACCACAGAUUUGGGGUCCCAAGCUCAAGUCCUUUGCUCCUGUCUCUCUUGAGUCCACAGGGCCAAAGACCACCUCCAAAACUCUAUCUCCCACAAGCCCAUUCUCUCCACCAACUGCCAUUCUUUCCUCCUUCCAACAUUCCAAAAUGGUUCCUCAGUGCCAGUUUCCUUCCUACACCUUACAGCCCCAAGCCACAGAAAUGCCCUCUACUUGUACCUGUACCUGGAGAUAUCCCUCCUCCAGUACCUCCAGCUAUGAAUGUGUCCUCUAUUUGUGAGCAUAUACAAAGGGACGACAAAAAUCAAGCCAAUUGGAGAAGGCCCAGGAUGCAGUGGAUCACUUUGGUGUCUUCAGUGUCUGACCGAGCUCUAAGCACUCUACAAUGCCUGCUUCAGAUGCCAUCAUGGCUGUUGAAACAAAUUGUUCUCAUCUUCCCUUUCCACUGGGAGAAGUCUUCACAUGCUUGGGAUAGACAUCCUCCUAGAUUACUAACAGGUUUAGGUCUGUUGCCUCUCCUCAACCAAGGUUAGCCCACUCAUCAAGGCUAAAGUUAUAUACAUAUAAAAAUUACAAAUAUAUGUGUAUGCACAUAUGUAUAAAUCAUAGCUACACAGAUAUAUUUUGGAGUGAAUGUAUAUGUUUGCAUAUACAUGUAUUUUAUACACUGUCAUAUAUGUGUAUGUAGAGAAGCAUUGCAUUCCAUUGCAUAUAUCUAUGUUUUUCAGCUAUUAUAUUUACAUCUUUUUUUUCUAGAAGAAUUUAAUCUCCAUGAGGGAAAGGCCUAUUUCACUUCUGUCCUGGUAUCUCCAAUGACUUGGCAAAGAGUGUGGUUUUGCCGUUGUUGUUCAUAAUAAUUAUUCUUUCAUUCUUCUCAUAUUUUUGGAUGGAAUUCCAAUAGAAACAGUCCUGAGACAAAUUGCUAAUCUUGACUUUUUAGUAGAUUAUUAUGCCACUGGGUAAAACAAUAGGAUUUUAUAACUAAAUAAAAAUAUUGGGGUGUAAGUUCA
rnacentral:lncRNA from 1 species